rnacentral:rRNA from 1 species
UACGGAGGGUGCAAGCGUUGUCCGGAUUUAUUGGGUUUAAAGGGUGCGUAGGCGGCCGUUUAAGUCUGGGGUGAAAGCCCACUGCUCAACAGUGGAACUGCCCUGGAAACUGGACGGCUUGAGUACAGACGAGGGUGGCGGAAUGGAUGGUAUAGCGGUGAAAUGCAUAGAUACCAUCCAGAACCCCGAUUGCGAAGCAGCUGCCUAGACCUGAUAACUGACGUGGAGGCAGCGAAAAGCCGUGGGGGAGC